GAGCCUUCGUUCAGCAAAUCUAGUAUUUUUUGGCGCCCAUGGGCCAGUAGCUCUGGGCUGAUCUGUAGCUCCCAGCAGUCCUCAGCCUUCUCCUCUGGCUCUGAGGCAUCCAGGGACUCCAGCUAUGAGGCAGGGGGAGGGAGGAACACAGAAGGCACGCGAUAAAUGAUACCCAUGCCCCCAACAUAUCAUCUCAGUUUUUAGGAUAUGGAUCUCAGCAUUUGGGGAUGCCGCCUGCUCCUGAACUGAAGGCAAGAAUUGUGAACCAGAAUCAUGGCAGAGGCUACUUCUUCUCACCCUCCCUGGUGGCCCCUUGGUUCUCCCAUUUCUGAUUCCUUGGGUCGGUCCCCUCCAUCCCAAAUUAACCUCUUGUUGUUUCCAUGUGACCUUUCUUGUAUUGGAAAGUAGUCUGUUGUUAGUCUGUAUGUUAGUUAACAUACUAAAUGCCUGAGAACAGA